AACUACCUUCCCCAGCCACAGCCCGUGCUUGCUGGGCUGAUUUUGACUAAGAGUUUCCUUUUCUCCUUCUCCCAGGCUCCCUCUGCCUCGGGAAGCUGUGGAUCUCUGUGACGGGAGUUUGUUUUUUUCCAGCUACACCAGGACUCAUCUGAACGGCUGCGAAACCGGAGGUCACUGCCAAAUCUAAACCACGGCAGUGUGCGAUAGGCUCAGAAUGUGAGUCAUCCUGUAUUUGGAGAUUUGGGGUUUUUCAGCUAUCAGCAGAGCACAUCUCCAGUCCUGCGUCCAAGUUCUUACACACUGAGUAUCUCACGAUCUGUUAAAAGCAAAUCUUCAGGUAGAGCUGCCAAGAUCCAGAGACCCCAAACAGCAUUGCAGGAGGCCGCUGUCACUUAAACACUACUGAAGAUACCCUGUCCCAGUGUGGCCACAGGAUGCUGGGAUAUAUUUAAGUACCUUGGCUAUUUAAUCAGGGAAUAAAGAAGGAAUAGAGGAAAUUAUCCCCAAGGAGCUGCUCCAGUACUUUAAUACGUACCAACAAUUGGCUAUGUUAUGGAAUCCACGAUGUGGCCUUCACUGUUGACCUCUGCAACACAAUUCCCAGUCUGACUACGGAAACUGUUUGGUUUGAUCCUUUCAACUUAUUUGAAUCCUGACAAAUAAGCUCACAGCUGAAAGGUCAACACAGUCAUAUUUCAUCCUCUGGAGCUAUUCUUAAGACAUCUGCACAACAAAGCACUUCUUUUAGUACCUGACACUGGACCUAGCCAGCACAAUCUCUCAUUAAAAAUGUCCCCAGUGGAAGAGUCUAUUAAAAGGCAUAUGGAUCAGCUAUGGAUUUACCAAAUAAAAUAUUUUUGAAAGCAUUAAUGUAACGCUUUGGAUUAUGGCUCUUGACGCUGCCAAUAAAACGUAUAUUUGCCCAAUGACAAAAUGCUUCA